GCACAGCCGCCGUGGAUACCGCGCAUGUCCCUCCCCUUCCCCACUCCCUUCGCAUUCGUUCCCAGAGAUCGCGAAUGUAGCAAGCUGUUUUGUUUUCUGCACCAAUAUACAGGGUGCUGCACUGAUAAGUUGUGAUAAGCCGAUUUGCACAUCUGCUGCCAGACUGUAAGGUUUGGCAGCUAAUACAGAUGCGGCAUCGUGGAAAAUAUGGCUCACAGAUGCAAAAUGGCAGCGGAGUGCAGAUCCCAUAUGUGGUGCUGGGCACACUAAACACACAUGUUUGGAAUGGUUUCCAGGGCUAAAAGCUGCAGUCAGCAGCUUGACAGUGGCCCCGAAACCGAAUACAAGACAGGGCUUUACUUCAUGCACACGUGGUGCCCGACCUUGAUGUCCGUGCCAAACCAUGAACAGAUCAUCAUCAUCUCCGGCCAGAAGAAGCAGAUGACAGUUGCUGCAGCAAUUUUACAAGGUGUGAUGAUUACUCUAGUUAAAAUAAAUAUUUGAAUUUUUGAUGGCCAA